rnacentral:rRNA from 1 species
ACGGAUAACAUACCGAAAGGUAUGCUAAUACGGGAUAAUAUAUUUGAGAGGCAUCUCUUAAAUAUCAAAGGUGAGCCAGUACAGGAUGGACCCGCGUCUGAUUAGCUAGUUGGUAAGGUAACGGCUUACCAAGGCAACGAUCAGUAGCCGACCUGAGAGGGUGAUCGGCCACAUUGGAACUGAGACACGGUCCAAACUCCUACGGGAGGCAGCAGUGGGGAAUAUUGCACAAUGGGCGAAAGCCUGAUGCAGCAACGCCGCGUGAGUGAUGAAGGCCUUCGGGUCGUAAAACUCUGUCCUCAAGGAAGAUAAUGACGGUACUUGAGGAGGAAGCCCCGGCUAACUACGUGCCAGCAGCCGCGGUAAUACGUAGGGGGCUAGCGUUAUCCGGAUUUACUGGGCGUAAAGGGUGCGUAGGCGGUCUUUCAAGUCAGGAGUGAAAGGCUACGGCUCAACCGUAGUAAGCUCUUGAAACUGGGAGACUUGAGUGCAGGAGAGGAGAGUGGAAUUCCUAGUGUAGCGGUGAAAUGCGUAGAUAUUAGGAGGAACACCAGUUGCGAAGGCGGCUCUCUGGACUGUAACUGACGCUGAGGCACGAAAGCGUGGGGAGCAAACAGGAUUAGAUACCCUGGUAGUCCACGCUGUAAACGAUGAGUACUAGGUGUCGGGGGUUACCCCCUUCGGUGCCGCAG